CAAAGCUUGUGUCUUUCUUCGUUUGUCAGUAGUGAAAAAAACAGUAGAUGGCACGAUUUUGGCAGGACCGCAAGUGUAACCAGGCCCGGGACCAAGCAAUGUGAAGUUCUUAGGAAGGUACCUUAUAAUUAUUUCAUAGAAGUAUUAAUUAAAUAUUUCAAUGAUGCAUUAUUAAAUUUCUUUCCCUUGAUUUAAUUGUUAUAGAUCGUAGAAGAAAACAUAAUGAUACAUUGAUACGGAUGUACCUUACAGUAUCAUUUGAACAAACACCCAAUUUCUUCAAGAAGCAGCGCAAUUUAUCAAAGUUUUUGAGCUAACGAAAAGCGGAAUGUAAAUACAUUAAAAUGGGCCUAGAGUAAUGCGCUUAUUCCGGCCCAAUAUAAAACGUAAUUGUUACUAUUUAAGCUCUUUCGUUCUUUCGCAUCUUUCUCAAGUCAAUCAGUGUUUCACUUCCCACAUGAGUAAAGACAUUACACUUACACAUAUUCAUCUCUAAGACUCUAAUCAUUCUCUCUUACGUCAUAAGCAAAAAAAAACAUUCUCUUACAAAAACAUGUUUAUAAUCUUUAUCUGAAAACCGAACUGACACAGCUUCUGGUUUGGUUUCUGAAACCCACAAGGAUCAGACUAAUCACCAUAUUGAGAUGAACAUAAGAAUAAGAAUCGUGAGUGGUAGUGUCCAGAGAGAAGCCAAGUUUACUCGUGCAGAGUUUGGUAGAAAAGGGUAUGAAUCUGGUGGAGGUAACAUACAUUCAUCGCCAUUGAAGUAAACUUUUCUCGGAAAAGCCCAACCUUGCUUGAAAGUAAACGUCUUUUGAUCUUUCUGAAGCAAAACCUCUGACUGAACAUUCCCUGAAGGUCCCGCUUCCAUCAAAAGAUCAUUGUAAAACUUCGUGCCAUAGAACAUUCCAGUAUCAUCUGCAUAAAAAAGAUUUAACAUUUCAAUGUUUGGUUCUAAAGCUUGAAUCUUUUAUAGUGAGAGACUUACUUAUGGAUCCAUAAGGAGCAACUGAUUUGUAAUCAAAGCUGAAAACUUGAGUCACAUUGUUGAGAUUUGGGUGCUGAACUGCUAAAGUCCACAGUGUAUGGUUCAUCCUGUAGUUGAAGUUUGUGAUAGCUAUCUUUACACGCCAAUAGUCUUUGUAGUUAACUUUAACGUGCCAGUGAACUCUAACAGGGCACAUGUGGUGUGUGCAUUGUAGUAAAGGAGCGUUGUCUUUUCUCGGUGUGUUGAGACCUUUCUUUGUUAGAAUCUUAGAAUCAGCCCUGCAAGCAAAAUUAUUAAUAAUGAGUAUGAAAUUAAGUGAUUUGCGUUUUUGUUUUUGCUUACUUGACGCAGCUCUUUUUGUUCUCGCAACCACAUGCACAAGAAGGGCAAGGAGUUGUGGUGUCGUUGUAGAAAGAAGAGAAGGAGACGCAACAACUUGAAUGCUUUCUCGCUAGAAACUGUGAGUAGGUACAUGUAACAUUCCAUGUCACUGCAGAAGCAUGAGUUUGAAAUGAUGUUUAGAGAUCAAUGAUGCUUAUUAGGCAUGCGGUUCCAGUAGUCUGGGUAGUUUGGUUCGGUCAAAAUCUCACAGAAUUGAACCGAAAAAAAAUUAUUUUGAUAUUUGGGUCGUUCCGUUUUAAAAUUUUCUACCGAAACUAAUCAAAAUUUUGGGCUCCGGUUAUAUUUUGGUUUAAAGUUUGGUUAAAUUCGGCUAAUUUCCAUUAAGUUUGUUCAAAAUUUUGGUUAAUUCUGUUAGUUUGGUUCAAAACUUGGUUAAUCUUUUAUUUUGAAAAAUGGAACCAAACUUCUUUUAUAAACCUGCCAAAUAGAACCGAACUCAUAACCGGAGAAACCAGAAAUUUUGGUUCGGCGAGUUUGGUUUGGUUCAAAACCGCACGCCUAAUGCUUAUAGUUUACUCGUUUAAGUUUACUUACUCAAAGCUUGUGUCUUUCUUCGUUUGUCAGUAGUGAAAAAAACAGUAGAUGGCACGAUUUUGGCAGGACCGCAAGUGUAACCAGGCCCGGGACCAAGCAAUGUGAAGUUCUUAGGAAGGUUGACAGUCUUGUUUGUAGUUCCAGCCAAACCAACACUAACCUGAAACUGUGAUACAGCUGAUGAUGGAUCUUGACCCCAAGCUCCAACCACACCGCCUUUGCAACAGUUUGAGAACUGUUGGU
rnacentral:lncRNA from 1 species